AGGCAGGGCCUGAUCCAAAACUCAUUGAAGUCAAUGAGAGUCUUUCCCUUGACUUUAAUAGGCUUUGGAUCAGGCCCCUGAACU
rnacentral:pre_miRNA from 1 species